AAUUCAUAUUUAUUAAAAAUCCUUUUAAAUAAAUUUCAUUUAUACAUACAUUUUACAAUUAUGUUGCGAAUGUCUUAGAUUAUUAAAAUUAAAAUUCAUCAUUAUUGAGCGGAAAAGCAAAAAAGUCAAUUUUUUAUAUAUAAUUACUGGCCAGGAAAAAAAGCAAACUUUUUGAUGAAGCAAAAAUAAGAGUUUUUCUCUCAGAUUGCAAAUAAAUAAAAUGCUAACUGCAUAAAAAUGCAUAAAAGAUUUAAGAUUUUUGUGUAAUAAAUGAACACGUAUCAAUUUUAUAGAAAAACAAUUAAAAUUAAAACCAGAGCCUGUGGAAAGCCUACUGAAGAAGUAGUCACAGCUAGUGUGAAAACUCUUAACAGUCACUAAAAAACACUCACCACAGCAGAAGUGAGGGCAAAUAACCCGUUAAAUCAGUAAAAUUAUAUAGCGCAAUCCAUUGAUUAUUGAAACUCAUGUACUUGUAUAGCGUACGGAAAUUGUUUAAAUUUAUUAUUGAAAUAAUAAACGUAGUCAGGCUAUGUUUCACGUGUAAUUAAGCCAACAUGUGGUCAACAAAACGGAUAUAAACGACAUUCCUAUAUAUAACGUAAUUGAAAAAUUGAAACCAAAUCGUUAUAUUUGUGGUAUUAUGAAUCCAAGCCAUCAAAAACAUAAACGUACUGCUGAAAAUGUCGUAGACGUAAACCAAACAUUGCUAAUUUUCGUUUUACUUCCUUCUAGUGAACUGCCAACGGUUUUAUAUGAAAAGAAAAAACUGGGAUUGGCUUUAGCACUUACAUAGAUUACGGACAUAUUUUAGUCGUGCAUUCAGUGAAUAAAAUUGGGAAUUUUCGGUUAACAUUAAUUUAUUUUAACUGUGAAAAUGGCAGGCCGAUUAGCAACUAUUGAAGAGUAAAUGCCGAAAAAUAUUUGGCGUGGUCCAUUCAAAUGAAAGCCCUGCCAUAACUAUGGGCCUAUGGUCAUCCGCAUAGGUAGAAAUUGCUGCGGAUGCGAGUGAGGAAAAGAAAGGGCUAGACCAACAAACUCUUGCUAGAUAAAUUUAUCAGUGAACUCAUUAGAACUGCCACAUAUAAAAAAUUGCGUUUCAGCGAAAUCUGCAUGGGUGUUUUAAAAAUUUUACACAAACGAAACGCUCCAAUACGUGAGGCGAACCAGGCGAAAUGGAUAAUUUCAUUGUUCUCAUAGAAAGCAUGUGUAACAUACGUCGAGAGCUGGGGUUAUCUUUAUUUGGCCUGAAUGGCUAAGAAAAAAGGAAAAGGAGAAAAAUAUAUCUUAUGUCAAUUAUGUUAUACAUGGUCUGUUUAUCUGUUAAAUUGUAGAAUUGCUUCUCUGUUUCACCCUAUUGUCGGUUAGUCUGCAUAUAUGUAUCAGUUUGUUCGUUACUAUUUGUUUAACAACAGUUAAUUGUUUUAUUUUUUAUAUCAUUAAAGAAAACUACAAAGGAAAUAAUUAUUUACAGUUGUAUUUAGUUAGAUACUAUACCGCUUAGAAUACGUUCCCACUGUCUUUGAUUCUGAAAUAUCCCUCACAUGCAAAUUUAUGGCUGAUGUGAUAAUGUGCUCUUUCGAGGCAUAGCAGACUAUGUACGUGCCUUUGCUGAGCUAGCUAGUUCGUGAGAUAUGGGAGGGGUGCUAUAUUUUCGGUUCAUUGACACUUCUCAGACUGUCAAAACUAAAAGAACAUACGGAUGGAAUGGAUGCGCAUUCAAUGACCAUACAAUUGAUUGCACACCAUGAGCACAGAUUCUCAAGGCCAGACAGUAUUGAGCCAAAGAAAGGAGAUAGUUUAACGUCGUCUGCAAACAUUAAAACACGGAAAUGUUGCUUGCAGUUCAGAAGGUGAUUCAUGUAUAAAAUAAAUAAAAGCUGGCCAAGACUACUGUCCUGAGGAACAUCAGAAAUGACGACAAUUGCUCAGGACUGGCAAGAAUUCAGCACCACCCGUUGGAUGCGAUCACAAAGGUAGCUACUGAACAGGCAUUCAUACGGUUUAAAAAAACAUAGCGAGGUAAUUUAUAGACUAACAACCUAUGAUAAACUCUGUCUAAAGCGUGAAAAUAACACCAUUUAGAAUUAGAUUAUACAACUUCAAAAGAUUAAUAACAGUUGACUUUCUUUUUAAAAAUCUGUGCUGGCAGUGCGAUAUGAUUUAGCCUAAAACCGGAGUAAGCCCUUUUGCUACCAUUGGUUUAAAUAAUUUUUUUUUUAAUAGUUAAAUUUUCUCUGCAUAAUGUAGCUUAUAAGGCGCAUUUACGUGACAAGAAUGAUGAUAAGUGGAGUACCUAUUGUCAUCAAAGGAACAAAGCUAAAUAUGCUAUUAGAAAUGCAUAAUGGUGAAUCAAUUAGUCUGUUAAAAAUUGGCCAAACUUAAAUUACUAUUACGGGCUGUUGACUUUUCAAGUCUAAUGCGCCAGGAGUGGUUGAUUUCUCUCAUAGAUUCUUGAAAUUAAUUUGGCUCUGGAUUGAUGCUCAUAUAUUAUUAACCACGUUCUUACUAAAUCUAAGUUUCCCUCGGCCUUGAAUUGAUCCCUAUCAAGAAUAGCGGCAAGUCAUUUAAUCUCUCGAAUCUUAGGUCGAUUUCAAUUUUGCCUAUUCUCUCAAAUGUCUUUGAACAUGUAAUUAAGGAACAGAAUAUCAACCAUAUUGACAAUAACUCCAUAGCCAGCAUGGUUUUAGAAAAGGUUUCAGCAGUACUUCUUUCCUACCGACUAUACAGUAAGUAAUACUCAUGUCUCGGUGUUAUUGCCGCUAAUUCUAACACAGCCUUUGAUUGGUUUGUCACAUGUACUUUUGAUUCAUAAGCUCCUGAGGGACCUCAUUUUUCGAAUUCAGCUGCCGUUCUGACAGAAUCCCAGUUCUUGGAUCGUUUACAAUUUGAAUUUGUUGGUGCUGUACAAUUUGAGCCGCUAAAGGUGCGAAGUGGGGUCUUUCAGGGAUCUAUCUAUUGGCCUCAAACAAUUUCGAUAACGUGUCGACGCCCGAAUCUACGUCCGAAUUUUGCUUUAAGGGUACAUGUUGAAAUUGUAAAUAUCUUGAAAUGCUGGGUGUGAUUAUCGAUGAUAAAUUAUGCUUAAAUUAUACGGAGUAAGCCUUUUUGCUACCAGUGGUUUAAAUAGUUUGGGCAGUGAACUAAGUUUGGUAAUUCCGAGUUUAAAAUCUGUAUAAAUACUUUUUUUGGAAGAGUUGAUCAACUAGAAAAACAUAUCUAUAAUUAAAGCUACUUGUAAAAAAGCGUCAUUAAAUACGAAUAUAGCAAAGUAUUGAAUUUCCGGAUUUUCAAGCGAAGAAUGAAGAACACGAAAACUUCCGAGUACUUUGUAUGUUUCAUGUAUUGAGUGUCGUAUGUUUCAUUAUUGAGAGUAUCAGUUAGUAACACCAAUUUUCUUAUAGAAAAAUUGCGGUAAUUUCAACACGUUGAUGUAAACACUUCAUUCAAAUUCAGGUGUCGCAUUUAUUAUAAUAAUCGAUUCACUUUUUAUAAUAAUAGUCAAUUUUUUGAGUCAACUUAAUACGACUUAUCUCCCUGCAGCUGACGUGUAUUUAAGUAUUUCGUACAUAUCAUCAAGUCAACGCAUCGAAUAAUGACAAUGUAUGGGAUUUUUGCCGAAUAAAAUAUUGGGUUUUCGUAUAAGGAAAGCCACGAAGAUAAAAAAAUGCAUAUUACUAAAAUUAAUAUUUGGUGUGGUAUAAUUUUUGUUAAAUAAUGUCUUUUAAACGUUUUGACAUAUUUUGUAUAAGUUUUCUUAUGUGGGGAAAAGGGGUCUGACUUCAUUCCUUUUAUAAUCUGUUUUGCUGGUCUUGGACGCAAUAAACUGAGAGUUUUCGCACAUGGCCUUGCCAUUUACCACACAUAUUUUUGAGGGGGUUUAUGCCUGGUGAUUUGUGGGAGAGGACGAGGCAAUUUGGCGCAAUUAUAUAAGUACCAUUCUUUAAUUAUGCCGGACAUAUCCUUGAGGUCUUGGUAGAAAUUCAAUGUUUCCAAAAUACCAAGUUUGUCCGCUCUUUCUUUCAAAUUUUCCUUCAAUAUAAAAUGCACUUUGAUAAUCACAAAUAGUAGCUUUAAUAAUUAUUCAUUGCAGUUAUUCAUCAAGGAUAACGCUGUGGUCAAAGGUCGAGAAAUUGCAUCGGGAGCCGGUCUUACCGAAGCUAAAAGGUCUUGACGGUAUCCACUAACACCUGAAAAGAAACUAAAAAGAUAUAGAUUUUGGUGUUUGCUUCUUAACACCUACAGAGCAGUGAAGCAUUAUCCAGCCUAGCCCAAUUGUUUUCCGGGUAAGCUGUUUCAUCGGAGUGCCUCCACAUAUGCGAAUCAUGACCAGAUCCCGGAAAUUUUAAAUUGACUGCCAUGAUUUUCAUUCUUUGGUCUCAAAUCUAGUAAGAAAGGUUUAUAUUGAUAAGUAAUUUUCCCUAAUAAUAAAUCCCCUAAAGAACCAAAAACCAAAUCCACAUUCGCAGACGUGCCAUGCUGUUGCAGUUCGAUGAAAAUGAUUAGGGGAAAAGUAGGCUGGUAUUAAAAAGAAAACCAUAAAUUUAGG